UCCACAGCGUGAUGUGGGACGCUUGCAAGACACGCACUUGGAAUUUCAGCAUUGCGGCGCUAGUGACGACAAGUAUCUGACUGCACGGCAUUUCGCUGCGACGUAGACAUGAAAAAAGUCCCCAGGUCACUACUCAUCGCUAUUGCGGGGGUAUUAUUUGCGAUAGAAGUCUCUGAACAAUGGACAGUUAUUGACGACACAGCUUGGAAAAAUGGGAAGUGCUACUUCAGAGGAGGGGCAUAUGAAGUUGGAGAGGCAACGCAUGACAUAAAGCAGUGCAUGACAUGGACUUGUUUCCGACAGAACAGCACUCAUGGCGGGAUGUUUGGUGUAGGGUGCGGAAAGGUGCUCGCAUCGCCACCAUGCAAAAAGAUACCUACAAGGGAAGGUAUCAACCCGAAAUGUUGCGAGUAUAUAGAGUGCCCAAAAAGAUGAAUUCGCGGAUAAACUAUUCGUACUUGAACAAAGACAACUUGAGUGCAAGAAGCACAUUAUUA